CAUUGUUUUAAUGAUAAAUUGCCGCUUAUCAAGUGUUUUGCCAUAUUAUUGGCUUAUCAGUUAUUUGUUGAAGACUAUCAUUUGUUCAUAAGGUAGACAUUUCAUAUAUCAUUUACAUUCGUUUGCGUCUUGUGUUUGCAUUUCUUGCCCAUUUUCCGCCAUCAGGAAGAUUACAAAUCAUCAACGAGGAUCUUAUUGACGAGGAAAUUGAGACCCGGAAAUGUUGCCCCACUUGUAUCUACAUACGAGGAUUUGGAUGCUUAUAAUGCCAAAAACAUUUUUUGCCAAAGUGAAUGUUGAAUUUUCCUCCACUCCUUUUUCAGACCUUCUCUUACUCCAAAAGACAUUUUCCCGCAAUUUCGAGCCAAUAUUGCAAAUAAAUCACUGAUUAUACCCAGCAAAGUGUUACGUUAAGCCUUUGAGAUUAAGCGCUGUAGAUUUUGACACGAAAAGUGUAAAUUAAGAUAGCGAUCUUACAGUUGAUCGAUGCUGUAUAGGCAGUGAUUGGGAAUAAUAAUUGUAAAAAUUCA